rnacentral:antisense_RNA from 1 species
GUGUGGUCCCAGGUCGCGUCCGGCUCGGUCAGCGCCUGCUCGCCGAAGUACUCGCCGGUGCUGAGGAUGCCCAGCGACCGCUCCUCGUCGUAGGCACCGGGGCCGAACCGGCCCACCUUGCCGUAGGCGACGAGGAUGACCUCGUCCGCGGCGUUGCCGGCCUCGACGAUGACGUCCCCGGCGGAGUACUCCCGCUGGACGAAACUGUCGGCGAGCGUCGUGAGCUCCCCACCGUCGAAGCCCCGCAGCAGCGGCAGCUCGGUGAGCUCCGCCGGGACGACGCGGAUGUCGGAUCCGGUGUUCGUGAAGGAGACCAGACCGUCACCGGCGAUGUAGGUCAGACGCCGGUUGACGCGGUACACACCACCAGCCGUGUGGACCCACGGCAGUACCCGCAGCAGCCAGCGGGAGGUGAUCUCCUGCAUCUGCGGCACGGAUUUGGUGGUCGUGGCGAGAUUCCGCGCGGCCGCGGUGCUGAGGCUCAGCUGAUCAGCGA